GGAGCUGUGCCUGAAUCAAAAGGGUCACUUUGAUAGAGUGAAGCAUGGGGGUUAAAACCCUCCCAACUCCU
rnacentral:tRNA from 1 species